AAAACUGACGCCUGCCGGUUCGGGUAAAUAGCUGUUAACUAUUUUUUGCGGGAUCGAGGCCUGCCGGUUUG
rnacentral:tRNA from 1 species